rnacentral:rRNA from 1 species
CGGCAGCACGGAGCUUGCUCUGGUGGCGAGUGGCGAACGGGUGAGUAAUGCGUCGGAACGUGUCCACUAAUGGGGGAUAACGCAUCGAAAGAUGUGCUAAUACCGCAUACGACCUACGGGAGAAAGCAGGGGACCCUCGGGCCUUGCGUUAGUGGAGCGGCCGACGUCUGAUUAGCUAGUUGGUGAGGUAAAGGCUCACCAAGGCGACGACCAGUAGCUGGUCUGAGAGGAUGAUCAGCCACACUGGAACUGAGACACGGUCCAGACUCCUACGGGAGGCAGCAGUGGGGAAUUUUGGACAAUGGGCGCAAGCCUGAUCCAGCCAUUCCGCGUGAGUGAAGAAGGCCUUCGGGUUGUAAAGCUCUUUCAACAGGGAAGAAACGGUAGUGGUUAAUAACCACUAGUAAUGACGGUACCUGUAGAAGAAGCACCGGCUAACUACGUGCCAGCAGCCGCGGUAAUACGUAGGGUGCGAGCGUUAAUCGGAAUUACUGGGCGUAAAGCGUGCGCAGGCGGUUUUUCAAGUCUGAUGUGAAAUCCCCGGGCUUAACCUGGGAACUGCGUUGGAAACUGAAAGACUAGAGUACGGCAGAGGGGGGUAGAAUUCCACGUGUAGCAGUGAAAUGCGUAGAUAUGUGGAGGAAUACCGAUGGCGAAGGCAGCCCCCUGGGUCGAUACUGACGCUCAUGCACGAAAGCGUGGGUAGCAAACAGGAUUAGAUACCCUGGUAGUCCACGCCCUAAACGAUGUCAACUAGUUGUUGGGGAGGGAGACCUCCUUAGUAACGCAGCUAACGCGUGAAGUUGACCGCCUGGGGAGUANNGUCGCAAGAUUAAAACUCAAAGGAAUUGANNGGGGCCCGCACAAGCGGUGGAUUAUGUGGAUUANNUCGAUGCNACGCGAAAANCCUUACCUACCCNUGAC